UACGGAGGGGGCUAGCGUUGUUCGGAAUUACUGGGCGUAAAGCGCGCGUAGGCGGCUUUGUAAGUUAGAGGUGAAAGCCCAGAGCUCAACUCUGGAACUGCCUUUAAGACUGCAUCGCUUGAAUUGUGGAGAGGUAAGUGGAAUUCCGAGUGUAGAGGUGAAAUUCGUAGAUAUUUGGAAGAACACCAGUGGCGAAGGCGACUUACUGGACACAUAUUGACGCUGAGGUGCGAAAGCGUGGGGAGCAAACAGG
rnacentral:rRNA from 1 species